rnacentral:rRNA from 1 species
AACGAACGCUGGCGGCAGGCUUAACACAUGCAAGUCGAGCGCUGUAGCAAUACAGAGCGGCGCACGGGUGAGUAACACGUGGGAACAUGCCUUUCGGUUCGGAAUAACUCAGGGAAACUUGUGCUAAUACCGGAUACGCCCCUACGGGGAAAGGAUUUAUUGCCGAAAGAGUGGCCCGCGUUGGAUUAGCUAGUUGGCGGGGUAAAAGGACCCACCAAGGCGACGAUCCAUAGCUGGUCUGAGAGGACGACCAGCCACACUGGGACUGAGACACGGCCCAGACUCCUACGGGAGG